rnacentral:rRNA from 1 species
ACAGAAAUUACAUUGAUGAUUGUGGAUAACUCUGUGCGUAAAAAGGUAUAAAGCGGGGUUUUGCUGGGGAAUGCAGCAGUCAGUCAUUUUUCUGCAAUUUUUCUAUUGCGGCCUGCGGAGAACUCCCUAUAAUGCGCCUCCAUCGACACGGCGGAUGUGAAUCACUUCACACAAACAGCCGGUUCGGUUGAAGAGAAAAAUCCUGAAAUUCAGGGUUGACUCUGAAAGAGGAAAGCGUAAUAUACGCCACCUCGCGACAGUGCGCUAAAGCGCGUCGCAACUGCUCUUUAACAAUUUAUCAGACAAUCUGUGUGGGCACUCGAAGAUACGGAUUCUUAACGUCGCAAGACGAAAAAUGAAUACCAAGUCUCAAGAGUGAACACGUAAUUCAUUACGAAGUUUAAUUCUUUGAGCAUCAAACUUUUAAAUUGAAGAGUUUGAUCAUGGCUCAGAUUGAACGCUGGCGGCAGGCCUAACACAUGCAAGUCGAACGGUAACAGAAGAGCUUGCUUUUGCUGACGAGUGGCGGACGGGUGAGUAAUGUCUGGGAAACUGCCUGAUGGAGGGGGAUAACUACUGGAAACGGUAGCUAAUACCGCAUAACGUCGCAAGACCAAAGAGGGGGACCUUCGGGCCUCUUGCCAUCGGAUGUGCCCAGAUGGGAUUAGCUUGUUGGUGGGGUAACGGCUCACCAAGGCGACGAUCCCUAGCUGGUCUGAGAGGAUGACCAGCCACACUGGAACUGAGACACGGUCCAGACUCCUACGGGAGGCAGCAGUGGGGAAUAUUGCACAAUGGGCGCAAGCCUGAUGCAGCCAUGCCGCGUGUAUGAAGAAGGCCUUCGGGUUGUAAAGUACUUUCAGCGGGGAGGAAGGGAGUAAAGUUAAUACCUUUGCUCAUUGACGUUACCCGCAGAAGAAGCACCGGCUAACUCCGUGCCAGCAGCCGCGGUAAUACGGAGGGUGCAAGCGUUAAUCGGAAUUACUGGGCGUAAAGCGCACGCAGGCGGUUUGUUAAGUCAGAUGUGAAAUCCCCGGGCUCAACCUGGGAACUGCAUCUGAUACUGGCAAGCUUGAGUCUCGUAGAGGGGGGUAGAAUUCCAGGUGUAGCGGUGAAAUGCGUAGAGAUCUGGAGGAAUACCGGUGGCGAAGGCGGCCCCCUGGACGAAGACUGACGCUCAGGUGCGAAAGCGUGGGGAGCAAACAGGAUUAGAUACCCUGGUAGUCCACGCCGUAAACGAUGUCGACUUGGAGGUUGUGCCCUUGAGGCGUGGCUUCCGGAGCUAACGCGUUAAGUCGACCGCCUGGGGAGUACGGCCGCAAGGUUAAAACUCAAAUGAAUUGACGGGGGCCCGCACAAGCGGUGGAGCAUGUGGUUUAAUUCGAUGCAACGCGAAGAACCUUACCUGGUCUU